rnacentral:rRNA from 1 species
CAUAGCCGCGGUAAUACGUAGGGUGCAAGCGUUAAUCGGAAUUACUGGGCGUAAAGCGUGCGCAGGCGGUUAUAUAAGACAGAUGUGAAAUCCCCGGGCUCAACCUGGGAACUGCAUUUGUGACUGUAUAGCUAGAGUACGGCAGAGGGGGAUGGAAUUCCGCGUGUAGCAGUGAAAUGCGUAGAUAUGCGGAGGAACACCGAUGGCGAAGGCAAUCCCCUGGGCCUGUACUGACGCUCAUGCACGAAAGCGUGGGGAGCAAACAGGAUUAGAUACCCCAGUAGUCCCUGUCUCUUAUACA